GGGCCUGUAGCUCAGUAGGCAGAGCAGCGGACUUUUAAUCCGAAGGCCGCGGGUUCGAUUCCCGCCGGGCCCA
rnacentral:tRNA from 1 species